GACGAACGCUGGCGGCGUGCUUAACACAUGCAAGUCGAACGGAAAGGCCCUGCUUUUGUGGGGUGCUCGAGUGGCGAACGGGUGAGUAACACGUGUGUAACCUGCCCUUGACUUUGGGAUAACUUCAGGAAACUGGGGCUAAUACCGGAUAGGAGCUCCUGCUGCAUGGUGGGGGUUGGAAAGUUUCGGCGGUUGGUGAUGGACUCGCGGCUUAUCAGCUUGUUGGUGGGGUAGUGGCUUACCAAGGCUUUGACGGGUAGCCGGCCUGAGAGGGUGACCGGCGAAAUUGGGACUGAGAUACGGAGCAGACUCCAACGGGAGGCAGCAGUGGGGAAUAUUGCACAAUGGGCGGAAGCCUGAUGCAGCAACGCCGCGUGCGGGAUGACGGCCUACGGGUUGUAAACCGAUGUAGCCUGUGACGAAGCGUGAGUGACGGUAAUGGGUAAAGAAGCACCGGCUAACUACGUG
rnacentral:rRNA from 1 species